rnacentral:rRNA from 1 species
AUCGAACGCUGGCGGCAGGCCUAACACAUGCCAGUCGAGCGAGCGGCGGACGGGUGAGUAAUGUCUGGGAAAUUGCCUGAUGGAGGGGGCUCACUACUGGAAACGGUAGCUACUACCGCAUACCUUAAGAUGUGCCCAAAUGGGAUUAGUUAGUAGGUGGGGUAAUGGUCCACCUAGGCGACGUACCCUAGCUGGUCUGAGAGGAUGACCAGCCACACUUGACCUGGGACACGGGCCAGACUCCUUCGGGGGGCAGCAGUUGGGAAUUUUGCACAAUGGGAGGAAGCCUGAUGCAGCCCUGCCUCGUGUGUGAAGAAGUCCUUCGGGUUGUGAAGCACUUUCAGCGAGGAGGCGUUACUCGCACAAGAAGCACCGGCUUACCCCGUGCCAGCAGCCGCGGUAAUAC